rnacentral:rRNA from 1 species
GGACUACAGGGGUUUCUAAUCCCGUUCGCUCCCCUGGCUUUCGCGCUUGAGCGUCAGUAUCGGCCCAGUGACCCGCCUUCGCAUCUGGUGUUCCUCCCAAUAUCUACGCAUUUCACCGCUACACUGGGAAUUCCAGUCACCUCUUCCGUACUCUAGUUUGGCAGUAUCAAAUGCAGUUCCCAAGUUGAGCCCGGGGCUUUCACAUCUGACUUGCCAGACCGCCUUCACGCGCUUUACGCCCAGUAAUUCCGAACAACGCUUGCCCCCUACGUAUUACCGCGGCGGCUGGCAC